GUACGCUAUUCAGAGUUUGAUCCUGGCUCAGGAUGAACGCUGCGGCGUGCUUAACACAUGCAAGUCGAACGAAGCACUUUACUUGAUUUCUUCGGAAUGAUUGUUCUGUGACUGAGUGGCGGACGGGUGAGUAACGCGUGGGUAACCUGCCUCAUACAGGGGGAUAACAGUUAGAAAUGACUGCUAAUACCGCAUAAGCGCACGGUAUCGACAUGAUACAGUGUGAAAAAACUCCGGUGGUAUGAGAUGGACCCGCGUCUGAUUAGCUAGUUGGUGAGGUAACGGCCCACCAAGGCGACGAUCAGUAGCCGACCUGAGAGGGUGACCGGCCACAUUGGGACUGAGACACGGCCCAA
rnacentral:rRNA from 1 species